AGGUGUGGCCAGGUCUGACAGCGUUUCCUGAUUUCUCUGACGAUGUGACCCAUGAGUGGUGGUACGACAAUCUCAAGAGGUUCCACGACAAAGUUCCCUUCGACGGACUCUGGAUCGACAUGAACGAGCCAUCUAGCUUCGUGGACGGGUCGACCGUUGGCUGUCCUGACACCGAGCUGGAGAACCCUCCGUACACACCUGGUAUAUUAGGAGGGUUGUUGAGGGCUCAGACUCUGUGUGCCUCUGCUGUCCAGAAGACCUCGUCUCACUACAACAUGCACAGCCUGUAUGGCCUUCUAGAAGCUAAGGCCUCGGCUCG